rnacentral:rRNA from 1 species
GCUAAGGCCGAUGGCGACCGGCGCACGGGUGAGUAACACGUAUCCAACCUGCCGUCUACUCUUGGACAGCCUUCUGAAAGGAAGAUUAAUACAAGAUGGCAUCAUGAGUCCGCAUGUUCACAUGAUUAAAGGUAUUCCGGUAGACGAUGGGGAUGCGUUCCAUUAGAUAGUAGGCGGGGUAACGGCCCACCUAGUCUUCGAUGGAUAGGGGUUCUGAGAGGAAGGUCCCCCACAUUGGAACUGAGACACGGUCCAAACUCCUACGGGAGGCAGCAGUGGGGAAUUUUGGACAAUGGGCGAGAGCCUGAACCAGCCAAGUAGCGUGAAGGAUGACUGCCCUAUGGGUUGUAAACUUCUUUUAUAAAGGAAUAAAGUCGGGUAUGCAUACCCGUUUGCAUGUACUUUAUGAAUAAGGAUCGGCUAACUCCGUGCCAGCAGCCGCGGUAAUACGGAGGAUCCGAGCGUUAUCCGGAUUUAUUGGGUUUAAAGGGAGCGUAGAUGGAUGUUUAAGUCAGUUGUGAAAGUUUGCGGCUCAACCGUAAAAUUGCAGUUGAUACUGGAUAUCUUGAGUGCAGUUGAGGCAGGCGGAAUUCGUGGUGUAGCGGUGAAAUGCUUAGAUAUC